ensembl:lncRNA
AUGUUCAUUACUGUGAUAUUAGGUGAGGGAAGAGAGGAGAUAUUGAACCUAAACUGCAAGGUGAUAAACUUCAUCCACUGUAUAAAAGAAAAAUGCAAUCUGGAUCCCCAAGAGACUGUGGACUUGAUGGACAGGACGGGAGAGCUGGUGAACUUGGCUGAGAGAGAGCAGAGCACCGACCUCGUCAGCAGUUUGCUGAAGGAGAGAGAGAGCUAUAUUCCAUUACGUGUAUCACGAGGUGAAGGCAGUGAAGGUCCAAAGUAUACUGCAGUGUAUGACUUUGGGACAAGUUACCCUGAGCUAGCAGGCAAUGCUUCUAUUUUUCAUUCAUUAAUCUGUAAUUUAUUAAAAAGGAAGAAAUUGAUAUCAAGAAAAACACUCCUUACUGCUUUUUUUCAUUGUAUUGUUCUUUUAAAGGAUUUUCCCACCAAUCUAAUGAAACUAAAAUUGAUGCUUACUAAUCAGCUGAAGUAUAGCAAAAUUGUUGUGGCUAUUUCACAUAAUAUCUGAAGUUGUUGGUUCUCUCUUUAAUGUAAUAUUUCUUUCUGCUAAAUUUAGAGAUUCUGAGAAAACUGUCAAAUCCUUCAAAGGAGCGGGACAAAAGGGGUGGAGCAUCUAAAAGGGGAGGAGUCAGUCAACACCGCAUCAAAGCUGCCAUCAACUUUAAGAAAGCCAUCACAACACCUCGGAGCUGAAAACACUCUCUUACUAUUUCCUUGUGUUCUUUAACAAUUUUAUAAAUAUUUUAGAAUUGGUUAUAUCAUAUAUAUCAAUGUGAAGAAUAUUUUUUGUUUGUGUAUAUACACAACCAUUCAAAAGUUUGGGGUCACUAUGAUUGAAAAAAAAAAGAAAUUAAUAAUUUUAUUCAGCAACAAUGUAUUAAAUUGAUCAAGAGAGAUAUUUAUAAUGUUACAAAAUAAUUAUAUUUUAAAUAAAUUCAGUUUUGUAAACUUUCUAUUAAUCAAAUAAUCCACACCCUGUUUUUACAAAAAUGUUUUCAACUGAUAAUAAUAAGAAAUAUUUCUUGAGCUCCAAAUCAGCAUAUUAGAAUGAUUUCUGGAGGAUCAUGUGACACUGAGGACUUGAAAAAUGGAGAAAUACAUUUCAUUAUAAAAUACAGUAAAAUGCAACAGUUUCACAAUAUCACUAAUUUUGCUGUAUCCAAUAAAUGCAUUUAUUAAAAUAAAUCUUACUGACGCCAAACUUUCAGCAUUCCUAUGUUAAUUUAAAAUGGUAAAAUGGUGUGGGUAGCUUAACAGUUGUGAAUUAGGGCUAGUAAUGAAUUAGGGCUAAAACGUGUUACAGCACAGCUGCAGAAAUAGCUUGAAACUACAUAAAAAAACCUACAGUUCAUACUUUUGGUCUGAAAACUGUUCAGUCUUGACUUAGUAAUACAUGAAGGCUAACAACAAAUUUAUUUAGGGAUUGCUUGGACCCUCUGUCGUGAACAGGUUGCAUAAGAGUUGGAAGGGUACAGCUGGACAUGUGUUAGUUAAAUAGUAAUGUGAAAAGAGGUAAAUUCACUCUCUCUGCAUACUGAGCACAAGGACACCAGCUCAAAAUGUCUGGGAAAGACUGAACCCCCAGUUGCUCCGCGGGUGCUGGAUAUAUAGCUGCCCACUGCUCCGGGUGUGUGUUCACGGUGUGUUCACUUCUCACUGCUGUGUGUGUGCACUUGGAUGGGUUAAAUGCAGAGCACCAAUUCCGAGUAUGGGUAACCAUACUUGGCAAAUGACACAACUUUCACUUUCACUUUCAGAAGACAAUCAUUGGCACCCUUCACAAGGAGGGUAAGCCACAAACAUUCAUUGCCAAAGAAGCUUGCUUUUCACAGAGUGCUGUAUCCAAGCAUGUUAACAGAAAGUUGAGUGGAAGGAAAAAGUGUGGAAGGAAAAGAUGCACAACCAACCGAGAGAACCGCAGCCUUAUGAGGAUUGUCAAGCAAAAUCGAUUCAAGAAUUUGAGUGAACUUCACAAGGAAUGGACUGAGGCUGGGGUCAAGGCAUCAAGAGCCACCACACACAGACGUGUCAAGGAAUUUGACUACUGUUGUCGUAUUGCUCUUUUUAAGCUACUCCUGAACCACAGACAACAUCAGAGGCGUCUUACCUGGGCUAAGGAGAAGAAGAACUGGACUGUUGCCCAGUGGUCCAGAUGAGAGCAAGUUUUGUAUUUCAUUUGGAAACCAAGGUCCUAGAGUCUGGAGGAAGGGUGGAGAAGCUCAUAGCCCAAGUUGCUUGAAGUCCAGUGUUAAGUUUCCACAGUCUGUGAUGAUCUGCUGGUGUUUGUCCAUUGUGUUUUUUGAAAACCAAAGUCACUGCACCCGUUUACCAAGUCAUUUUGGAGCACUUCAUGCUUCCUUCAGCUGACCAGCUUUUUGAAGAUGCUGAUUUCAUUUUCCAGCAUGAUUUGGCACCUGCCCACACUGCCAAAAGCACCAAAAGUUGGUUAAAUGACCAUGGUGUUGGUGUGCUUGACUGGCCAGCAAACUCACCAGACCUGAACCCCAUAGCAGUGCCACGCCGAAUUGAGGCAGUAAUUAAAGCAAAAGGAGCCCCUACCAAGUAUUGAGUACAUGUAAAGUAAAUGAACAUACAUUCCAGAAGGCCAACAAUUUACUAAAAAUGUUUUUUUUAUUGGUCUUAUGAAGUAUUCUAAUUUGUUGAGAUUGUGAAUUGUUGGGUUUUUGUUAAAUGUGAGCCAAAAUCAUCACAAUUAAAAGAACCAAAGACUUAAACUACUUCAGUCUAUGUGCAUUGAAUUUAUUUAAUACACGAGUUUCACAAUUUGAGUUGAAUUACUGAAAUAAAUGAACUUUUUCACAACAUUCUAAUUUAUUGAGAUGCACCUAUAUGUAGCUACCUGAGGCUGAACUCAGAGAGGUCAGAAGAUUGCUGUUCGGAAAAGAGCUGAAGUAAGUCACAAACAAACGCGCUUUCAUUAGAUGAAGACUGGAGGGAGCUGCAGUGCUCACACAGCUU